rnacentral:rRNA from 1 species
CGCGUAGGCGGUGCGGUAAGUCACCUGUGAAACCUCCGGGCUCAACUCGGAGCCUGCAGGCGAAACUGCCGUGCUGGAGUGUGGGAGGGGUGCGUGGAAUUCCCGGUGUAGCAGUGAAAUGCGUAGAGAUCGGGAGGAACACCUGUGGCGAAAGCGGCGCACUGGACCACAACUGACGCUGAGGCGCGAAAGCUAGGGGAGCAAACAGGAUUAGAUACCCUGGUAGUCCUAGCCCUAAACGAUGGAUGCUUGGUGUAGCCGGUACCCAAUCCGGCUGUGCCGCAGCUAACGCGAUAAGCAUCCCGCCUGGGGAGUACGGUCGCAAGGCUAGAA